AGAGUUUGAUCAUGGCUCAGGACGAACGCUGGCGGCGUGCUUAACACAUGCAAGUCGAACGGUGACCCAGGGCUUGCCCUGGUGAUCAGUGGCGAACGGGUGAGUAACACGUGGGCAACCUGCCCCUGACUUCGGGAUAACUCCUCGAAAGAGGAGCUAAUACCGGAUACGACCACUUCGGACAUCCGAUGGUGGUGGAAAGUUCUUCGGUCAGGGAUGGGCCCGCGGCCUAUCAGCUAGUUGGUGGGGUAAUGGCCUACCAAGGCGACGACGGGUAGCCGGCCUGAGAGGGCGACCGGCCACACUGGGACUGAGACACGGCCCAGACUCCUACGGGAGGCAGCAGUGGGGAAUAUUGCGCAAUGGGCGAAAGCCUGACGCAGCGACGCCGCGUGAGGGAUGAAGGCCUUCGGGUUGUAAACCUCUUUCAGCAGGGACGAAGCGAAAGUGACGGUACCUGCAGAAGAAGCACCGGCUAACUACGUG
rnacentral:rRNA from 1 species